rnacentral:rRNA from 1 species
CUCGUAGGCGGUUCGUCGCGUCCGGUGUGAAAGUCCAUCGCUUAACGGUGGAUCCGCGCCGGGUACGGGCGGGCUUGAGUGCGGUAGGGGAGACUGGAAUUCCCGGUGUAACGGUGGAAUGUGUAGAUACCGGGAAGAACACCAAUGGCGAAGGCAGGUCUCUGGGCCGUUACUGACGCUGAGGAGCGAAAGCGUGGGGAGCGAACA